rnacentral:rRNA from 1 species
GACGAACGCUGGCGGCGUGCCUAAUACAUGCAAGUAGAACGCUGAAGGAGGAGCUUGCUCUUCUGGAUGAGUUGCGAACGGGUGAGUAACGCGUAGGUAACCUGCCUGGUAGCGGGGGAUAACUAUUGGAAACGAUAGCUAAUACCGCAUAAGAGUAGAUGUUGCAUGACAUUUGCUUAAAAGGUGCAAUUGCAUCACUACCAGAUGGACCUGCGUUGUAUUAGCUAGUUGGUGGGGUAACGGCUCACCAAGGCGACGGUACAUAGCCGACCUGAGAGGGUGGUCCGCCACAAUGGGAAUGAGACAACGCCCAGAAUCCUACGGGAGGCAGCAGUAGGGAAUCUUCGGCAAUGGACGGAAGUCUGACCGAGCAACGCCGCGUGAGUGAAGAAGGUUUUCGGAUCGUAAAGCUCUGUUGUAAGAGAAGAACGAGUGUGAGAGUGGAAAGUUCACACUGUGACGGUAUCUUAACAGAAAGGGACGGCUAACUACGUG